UGGGGAAUAUUGCACAAUGGGCGCAAGCCUGAUGCAGCAACGCCGCGUGAACGAUGAAGGUCUUCGGAUCGUAAAGUUCUGUUGCAGGGGAAGAUAAUGACGGUACCCUGUGAGGAAGCCCCGGCUAACUACGUGCCAGCAGCCGCGGUAAUACGUAGGGGGCUAGCGUUAUCCGGAUUUACUGGGCGUAAAGGGUGCGUAGGUGGUCUUUCAAGUCGGUGGUUAAAGGCUACGGCUCAACCGUAGUUAGCCUCCGAAACUGGAAGACUUGAGUGCAGGAGAGGAAAGUGGAAUUCCCAGUGUAGCGAUGAAAUGCGUAGAUAUUAAAAAGAAUACCGGUGGCGAAGGCGACUUACUGGGCUCAUUCUGACGCUGAGGAACGAAAGCGUGGGUAGCAAACAGG
rnacentral:rRNA from 1 species